AUUGAACGCUGGCGGCAGGCCUAACACAUGCAAGUCGAGCGGAUGAAGGGAGCUUGCUCCUGGAUUCAGCGGCGGACGGGUGAGUAAUGCCUAGGAAUCUGCCUGGUAGUGGGGGAUAACGUCCGGAAACGGGCGCUAAUACCGCAUACGUCCUGAGGGAGAAAGUGGGGGAUCUUCGGACCCCACGCUAUCAGGUGAGCCUAGGUCGGAUUAGCUAGUUGGUGGGGUAAAGGCCUACCAAGGCGACGAUCCGUAACUGGUCUGAGAGGAUGAUCAGUCACACUGGAACUGAGACACGGUCCAGACUCCUACGGGAGGCAGCAGUGGGGAAUAUUGGACAAUGGGCGAAAGCCUGAUCCAGCCACGCCGCGUGUGUGAAGAAGGUCUUCGGAUUGUAAAGCACUUUAAGUUGGGAGGAAGGGCAGUAAGUUAAUACCUUGCUGUUUUGACGUUACCAACAGAAUAAACACCGGCUAACUUCGUG
rnacentral:rRNA from 1 species